AGAGUUUGAUCAUGGCUCAGAACGAACGCUGGCGGCGUGCUUAACACAUGCAAGUCGCGUGCGCAGUUUCCGUAGCAAUACGGGGAUGGGCGCACGGCGCACGGGUGCGUAACACGUGGGCAAUCUGCCCUCCGAUGGGGAAUACCCCCGCGAAAGCGGGACUAAUUCCGCAUAACAUUCCUUGGAUUAACUUUCGAGGAUUCAAAGCAGCAAUGCGUCGGAGGAGGAGCCCGCGCCCGAUUAGCUAGUUGGUGAGGUAACGGCUCACCAAGGCAAUGAUCGGUAGCUGGUCUGAGAGGAUGGCCAGCCACACUGGAACUGAGACACGGUCCAGACUCCUACGGGAGGCAGCAGUGGGGAAUCUUGCACAAUGGGCGAAAGCCUGAUGCAGCGACGCCGCGUGGGGGAUGAAGCUUUUCGGAGUGUAAACCCCUUUCGACUGGGACGAAUGCCUCGCAAGAGGAGUGACGGUACCAGUAUAAGAAGCCCCGGCUAACUACGUGCCAGCAGCCGCGGUAAGACGUAGGGGGCCAGCGUUGUUCGGAAUUACUGGGUGUAAAGGGUUCGUAGGCGGUGUGGCAAGUCGGGAGUGAAAUCUCUGGGCUCAACCCAGAGACUGCUUCCGAAACUGCUGUGCUUGAGUGUGAGAGAGGCUCGUGGAAUUGCAGGUGUAGCGGUGAAAUGCGUAGAUAUCUGCAGGAACACCCGUGGCGAAAGCGGCGAGCUGGAUCACUACUGACGCUGAGGAACGAAAGCUAGGGGAGCAAACAGGAUUAGAUACCCCCGUAGUCC
rnacentral:rRNA from 1 species